AAAGGGGCUUCGGCCCUGAGUAAAGUGGCGCACGGGUGAGUAACACGUGGGUAAUCUGCCUCUGAGAUUGGGAUAACCUGUCGAAAGACGGGCUAAUACCAAAUAAGACCACGACUUCUUCGGGAGUUGAGGUCAAAGGUAGCCUCUAUUUAUAAGCUAUCGCUCGGAGAUGGGCCCGCGCACCAUUAGCUAGUUGGUGGGGUAAUGGCCUACCAAGGCAAAGAUGGUUAGCUGGUCUGAGAGGAUGAUCAGCCACACUGGAACUGAGACACGGUCCAGACUCCUACGGGAGGCAGCAGUGGGGAAUAUUGCGCAAUGGGCGAAAGCCUGACGCAGCAACGCCGCGUGAGUGAUGAAGGCCUUCGGG
rnacentral:rRNA from 1 species